rnacentral:rRNA from 1 species
UACGUAUGUCGCAAGCGUUAUCCGGAUUUAUUGGGCGUAAAGCGCGUCUAGGCGGUUUAGUAAGUCUGAUGUGAAAAUGCGGGGCUCAACCGCGUAUUGCAUUGGAAACUGGGAAACUAGAGUACUGGAGAGGGAGGCAGAACUACAAGUGUAGAGGUGAAAUUCGUAGAUAUUUGUAGGAAUGCCGAUGGGGAAGGCAGCCUCCUGGACAGAUACUGACGCUAAAGUGCGAAAGCGUGGGGAGCAAACAGG